ACACACGCACACACACACACGCGUGCGCGGAGGGGGUGAGGGAAAAGGAGGGAAAAGUUGAGAAGAGAGGCUCGCUUCCCCGUGUUUACCCCCCCCCCAGCCGGGCCCCCAAGUUGGCCAAGUUGGCAGCGCCUUACCCGGGAGAGCGACGGUGUCCCCGGGGGGGCCCGGGCGGCCCAAGUGCAGACCCCCGAGAAGCAGGGCACAGCGCAGCAGGUCACUGCAGCACAGAGCCCUGGACUGGGAGUCAGGAUGUUGGAGUCGAACCGCACCUCCGCCUCUGAUUCCCUGAGUGACCUUGGAAAAGACUCUUGGGAUCUCUGGGCUCAGAGCCAGGCUGAGACAUUUAGAGACCCUAAAUGUGGAGAAGAUUCACGUUCUCUCACCAUGAGUAAUCAAAUAAAAACAAUAUGAAACUAACA